rnacentral:lncRNA from 1 species
GAGUGUGUGAAGGGCCCCAAUGUGGCUGCCAUCGUAGGGGGCACCGUGGUAGGUGUCGUACUGAUUGGUGUCCUCCUCCUGAUCAUCUGGAAGGCCCUGGCCCACCUGACUGACCUCAGGGAGUACAGGUGCUUUAAGAAGGAGAAACUCAAGUCCCAAUGGUGCAAUGACAACCCCCUCUUCAAGAGUGCUACGACAACGGUCAUGAACCCCAAAUUUGCCGAAAGC